rnacentral:rRNA from 1 species
UAGGGAAUCUUCCACAAUGGACGAAAGUCUGAUGGAGCAACGCCGCGUGAGUGAUGAAGGGUUUCGGACCGUAAAGCUCUGUUGUUGGUGAAGAAGGAUAGAGGUAGUAACUGGCCUUUUAUUUGACGGUAAUCAACCAGAAAGUCACGGCUAACUACGUGCCAGCAGCCGCGGUAAUACGUAGGUGGCAAGCGUUGUCCGGAUUUAUUGGGCGUAAAGCGAGCGCAGGCGGAAGAAUAAGUCUGAUGUGAAAGCCCUCGGCUUAACCGAGGAAUUGCAUCGGAAACUGUUUUCUUGAGUGCAGAAGAGGAGAGUAGAACUCCAUGUGUAGCGGUGGAAUGCGUAGAUAUAUGGAAGAAUACCAGUGGCGAAGGCGGCUCUCUGGUCUGCAACUGACGCUGAGGCUCGAAAGCAUGGGUAGCGAACAGGAUUAGAUACCCUGGUAGUCCAUGCCGUAAACGAUGAGUGCUAAGUGUUGGGAGGCUUCCGCCUCUCAGUGCUGCAGCUAACGCAUUAAGCACUCCGCCUGGGGGAGUACGACCGCAAGGUU